CUAAACCGGAACUCUCUUCCGCCAUUAAGACUGUUUCGCACGCAUGUGUUCGUCAGGACUUCCUCCAGUCAUUCCUUCCCUCCGUCUCUCUUCCUCUGUAAUUUUAUUCCUUCAUCCAUCGCUUCUUCGGUCUGUCUUUCUCCCUAUCGUUUAUUUCAAGCCGCGAUGUUUAGUUCGGAGGAAUAUUUGAGGAAGAAAACGGGUGAAUAUGGCGUUGGUCGUCUCAGUUAUCUGCAGUCGUUGGUGACAGAGUUCGAAGAGACAACAUCCGACGAUGCUAAGAAAGAAAUUCUUGCCAACCUCGCUAAUUUUGGCUACGACCCCCUAAACUAUGGUUUCUUUCGCCAACUCAAUAUCUUGGAUUUGUUUCUUGAUUCAUUAGAAGACAACGAUGAGAAAAUGGUAGAAUUCUCCAUCGCAGGAUUAUGCAAUUGCUGUUUAGAUGAGAAAAACAAGGAGUUUAUUAUCAAAAACGACGGUGUGAAUCUUGUGAAAAAGCACUGCCUCAGUGGUGCUAAUGAAGAAACAUUAAUAUCAGCCUUGACAUGUCUGAUGUUCCUCAUAACCCCAGGUUCCAAAAACAGCUAUUCUGACGGAGGAUUUCACAAAACGAAUCAUAGACUGGUCGGGAAACCCUAACGCACGCAUUAAAAACUUAGCUACCAUAUUCAUCGAGGUAAACGACCAUUUUCUAUCUUUCUACACUAUUAUAUAUGUGGCAAAAUUUGAAAUCAUUAUUAUUAUUAUUAUUUCUUUUGUUCCUCCAGGAUUAUUUCAACAAAGAAGAUAAGGUGAAAUCCGAAGACCAAGCCUCUGUCGCAAACCAUUGA
rnacentral:misc_RNA from 1 species